GAAAUGCGAUAAGUAGUGUGAAUUGCAGAAUUCAGUGAAUCAUCGAAUCUUUGAACGCACAUUGCGCCCUUUGGUAUUCCAAAGGGCAUGCCUGUUCGAGCGUCAUUUGUACCCUCAAGCUUUGCUUGGUGUUGGGCGUCUUGUCUCCAGUUCGCUGGAGACUCGCCUUAAAGUAAUUGGCAGCCGGCCUACUGGUCUCGGAGCGCAGCACAAGUCGCGCUCUCUUCCAGCCAAGGUCAGCAUCCACAAAGCCUUUUUUCAACUUUUGACCUCGGAUCAGGUAGGGAUACCCGCUGAACUUAAGC
rnacentral:misc_RNA from 1 species